rnacentral:rRNA from 1 species
UACGUAGGGUGCGAGCGUUAAUCGGAAUUACUGGGCGUAAAGCGUGCGCAGGCGGUUCGCCAAGUCAGGUGUGAAAUCCCCGGGCUUAACCUGGGAAUUGCGCUUGAAACUAGCGGGCUUGAGUGUGGCAGAGGGGGGUGGGAAUUCCACGUGUAGCAGUGAAAUGCGUAGAGAUGUGGAGGAACACCGAUGGCGAAGGCAGCCCCCUGGGUCAACACUGACGCUCAUGCACGAAAGCGUGGGGAGCAAACAGG